CGGGGUGAGUAAUGUAUGGGGAUCUGCCUGAUGGAGGGGGAUAACUACUGGAAACGGUAGCUAAUACCGCAUAACGUCGCAAGACCAAAGAGGGGGACCUUCGGGCCUCUUGCCAUCGGAUGUGCCCAGAUGGGAUUAGCUAGUAGGUGGGGUAACGGCUCACCUAGGCGACGAUCCCUAGCUGGUCUGAGAGGAUGACCAGCCACACUGGAACUGAGACACGGUCCAG
rnacentral:rRNA from 1 species